UGCUACAAUCAUUGGAUCCUAAAGACAGUAGGUCCCCGCUAAGCGGGGUUAAAAAUAGCCUACCGAGGGAAAAAGAUUUAAUAUUAUCUGAAUCCCUGUAGGUAGGGAUUUUUUUAUGAAAAG
rfam:Candidatus Gottesmanbacteria bacterium RIFCSPHIGHO2_01_FTLL_40_15 rifcsphigho2_01_scaffold_2861, whole genome shotgun sequence.